rnacentral:ncRNA from 1 species
GGUGCCCUCCCAUCAACGGAGGGUGAAACGUGAAGUCCAACGAUUGAAUCUGAUUCGAUCGCCAACGGACGCGGCCCCCGCCACUGUGAACGCGCCAAGCUUGUCGACACAAGUCACUGGGCUCGAUCGUGAGGAAACUCCUCCGAUCGUCCUGGGAAGACGUCGACGAGCGGUGGGACUCCAGAGAUAUCUCUGGGUCCUUCCAAGCGUGUGAGUCAGGAGACCGGCCACUGCC